rnacentral:rRNA from 1 species
UACGUAGGGGGCUAGCGUUGUCCGGAAUCAUUGGGCGUAAAGCGCGCGUAGGCGGCCCGGUAAGUCCGCUGUGAAAGUCAAAGGCUCAACCUUUGAAUGUCAGCGGAUACUGCCAGGCUAGAGUCCGGAAGAGGCGAGUGGAACUCCUGGUGUAGCGGUGGAAUGCGCAGAUAUCAGGAAGAACACCAACGGCGAAGGCAGCUCGCUGGGACGGAACUGACGCUGAGGCGCGAAAGCGUGGGGAGCGAACAGG